AUUGAACGCUGGCGGCAGGCCUAACACAUGCAAGUCGAGCGAGCGGCGGACGGGUGAGUAAUGUAUGGGGACUGCCCGAUAGAGGGGGAUAACUAAUGGAAACGGUGGCUAAUACCGCAUACUAUCGGAUAACCCAUGUGGUAUUAGCUAGUAGGUGGGGUAAAGGCUCACCUAGGCGACGAUCUCUAGCUGGUCUGAGAGGAUGAUCAGUCACACUGGGACUGAGACACGGCCCAGACGCCUACGGAGGCAGCAGUGGGGAAUAUUGCACAAUGGGCUAAAGCCUGAUGCAGCCAUGCCGCGGGUAUGAAGAAGUCCUUAGGGUUGUAAAGUACUUUCGGCGGGGAGGCGUUACCCACAGAAGAAGCACCGGCUAACUCCGUGCCAGCAGCCGCGGUAAUUC
rnacentral:rRNA from 1 species